rnacentral:rRNA from 1 species
AUUGAACGCUGGCGGCAGGCCUAACACAUGCAAGUCGAGCGGAUGAAGAGAGCUUGCUCCUGGAUUCAGCGGCGGACGGGUGAGUAAUGCCUAGGAAUCUGCCUGUCUGUGGGGGAUAACGUCCGGAAACGGGCGCUAAUACCGCAUACGCCCUGAGGGAGAAAGUGGGGGAUCUUCGGACCUCACGCUAUCAGAUGAUCCUAGGUCGGAUUAGCUAGUUGGUGGGGUAAAGGCCUACCAAGGCGACGAUCCGUAACUGGUCUGAGAGGAUGAUCAGUCACACUGGAACUGAGACACGGUCCAGACUCCUACGGGAGGCAGCAGUGGGGAAUAUUGGACAAUGGGCGAAAGCCUGAUCCAGCCAUGCCGCGUGUGUGAAGAAGGUCUUCGGAUUGUAAAGCACUUUAAGUUGGGAGGAAGGGCAGUAAGUUAAUACCUUGCUGUUUUGACGUUACCAACAGAAUAAGCACCGGCUAACUUCGUG